rnacentral:rRNA from 1 species
AACGUAGGAGACAAGCGUUAUCCGGAGUUACUGGGCGUAAAGGGCGUGUAGGCGGCUGUUUAAGUGGGUUGUGAAAGCGUCUGGCUUAACCGGGCGAGGCCGACCCAGACUGGACAGCUGGAGGGCGGUAGAGGAGUGUGGAAUUCCGGGUGUAGUGGUGAAAUGCGUAGAGAUCCGGAGGAACACCAGAGGCGAAGGCGACACUCUAGGCCGCACCUGACGCUGAGACGCGACAGCACGGGGAGCAAAC